GGUGGCUCAGUGGUAAAGUGCUUGCCUUGCAUGCAUGAAGCCCUGGGUUCGAUUCCUCAGCACCA
rfam:Dipodomys ordii contig_92381, whole genome shotgun sequence.